rnacentral:tRNA from 1 species
UGCGGGCGGGCCCCGGGCCUCGGGCUCAGGGCUGGGGCCCCGGGCUGGGGGCUUCGGGAUCGCCUCCCGGGGCGGCGG